GUGCCAGCCGCCGGCGGUAAUACCGGCAGCUCGAGUGAUGUCCAAUAUUAUUGGGCCUAAAGCGUCCGUAGCUGGCCGCGCAAGUCCGUCGGGAAAUCCACCCGCCCAACGGGUGGGCGUCCGGCAGAAACUGGCCGGCUUGGAACCGGAAGGCUCAGAGAGUACGUCCGGGGUAGGAGUGAAAUCCCGUAAUCCCGGACGGACUACCGAUGGCGAAAGCACUCUGAGAAGACGGCUUCGACAGUGAGGGACGAAAGCCAGGGUCUCGAACCGGAUUAGAAACCCGAGUAGCC
rnacentral:rRNA from 1 species